GGAGCUCAUUGAAGCUGUGGCUGUGGUCUUUAGCCGGGAAGAGUGGGCAUUGCUGGAUCCUGCUCAGCAGAAACUCUACAGAGAUGUGAUGGAGGAAACUCUGGGAAACCUGGCCUCCGUAGUCUCUCAAAGCCUUAAUGGAGGGGAAAUACUAUCUACUGAACAUAUAACGCUGCAGCUCAUGAAGAGUGAGACCUGGUCUUCCAUUGUAGCUGAAAUCUCCGAGUCACGAGUCAGUAAAGACCAGCGUGAAAAGCAGCGGGUACAUUUGAGCGCUCUGAAAGCACAGAAACACUGUGAAAGCAAUGAAGGUAAUCCGUGUGGGAAAGCCUCCAGCCAGG